GACGAACGCUGGCGGCGUGCUUAACACAUGCAAGUCGAACGGAAAGGCCCUUCGGGGUACUCGAGUGGCGAACGGGUGAGUAACACGUGGGUGAUCUGCCCUGCACUUUGGGAUAAGCCUGGGAAACUGGGUCUAAUACCGAAUAGGACCACGCGCUUCAUGGUGUGUGGUGGAAAGCUUUUGCGGUGUGGGAUGGGCCCGCGGCCUAUCAGCUUGUUGGGGGGGUAAUGGCCUACCAAGGCGACGACGGGUAGCCGGCCUGAGAGGGUGACCGGCCACACUGGGACUGAGAUACGGCCCAGACUCCUACGGGAGGCAGAAGUGGGGAAUAUUGCACAAUGGGCGCAAGCCUGAUGCAGCGACGCCGCGUGAGGGAUGACGGCCUUCGGGUUGUAAACCUCUUUCAAUAGGGACGAAGCGCAAGUGACGGUACCUAUAGAAGAAGCACCGGCCAACUACGUG
rnacentral:rRNA from 1 species